UACGGAGGGUGCAAGCGUUGUUCGGAAUUACUGGGCGUAAAGGGCUCGUAGGCGGCCAACUAAGUCAGACGUGAAAUCCCUCAGCUUAACUGGGGAACUGCGUCUGAUACUGGAUGGCUUGGAUUCGGGAGAGGAAUGCGGAAUUCCAGGUGUAGCGGUGAAAUGCGUAGAUAUCUGGAAGAACACCAGUGGCGAAGGCGGCUCACUGGCCCGGUACUGACGCUGAGGUGCGAAAGCGUGGGGAGCAAACAGG
rnacentral:rRNA from 1 species